ensembl:snRNA U6 U6 spliceosomal RNA
GCGCUCGCUUUGGCAGUGCAUAUACUAAAAUUGGACCCAUACAGAGAAGAUUAGCGUAGCCCCAUGUGCAAGGAUGACGCACAAAUUCGUGAAGCGUUCCAUAUUUAA